GACGAACGCUGGCGGCGUGCCUAAUACAUGCAAGUCGAACGCAGUGGGGACGGGUGAGUAACACGUGGGUAACCUCCCAUACGAGGGGAUAACACUUGGAAACAGGUGCUAAACCGAUACUGAUGGAUGGACCCGCGGUGCAUUAGCUAGUUGGUGAGGUAACGGCUCACCAAGGCCACGUUGCAUAGCCCACCUUAGAGGGUGAUCGGCCACACUGGGACGGAGACACGGCCCAGACUCCUACGGGAGGCAGCAGUAGGGAAUCUUCGGCAAUGGACGAAAGUCUUGCCGAGCCACGCCGCGUGAGUGAAGACGGCCUUCGGGUUGUAAAGCUCUGUUAAUCGGGACGCGGUACCGGAAUAGAAAGCCACGGCUAACUUCGUGCCAGCAGCCGCGGUAAUUC
rnacentral:rRNA from 1 species